rnacentral:rRNA from 1 species
AACGAACGCUGGCGGCAGGCUUAACACAUGCAAGUCGAGCGCCCCGCAAGGGGAGCGGCAGACGGGUGAGUAACGCGUGGGAAUCUACAAAUCUCUACGGAAUAACGCAUGGAAACGUGUGCUAAUACCGUAUACGUCCUUCGGGAGAAAGAUUUAUCGGAGAUGGAUGGGCCCGCGUUGGAUGAGCUAGUUGGUGGGGUAAGGGCUUACCAAGGCGACGAUCCAUAGCUGGUCUGAGAUGAAGAUCAGCCACCCUGGGACUGAGACACGGCCCAGACUCCUACGUGAGGCAGCAGUGGGGAAGAUUGGACAAUGGGCGCAAGCCUGAUCCAGCCAUGCCGCGUGAGUGAUGAAGGCCCUAGUGUUGUAAAGCUCUUUCACCGGUGAAGAUAAUGACGGUAACCGGAGAAGAAGCCCCGGCUAACUUCGUGCCAGCAGCCGCAGUAAAAC